UACGUAGGGGGCAAGCGUUGUCCGGAUUUACUGGGCGUAAAGAGCGCGUAGGCGGAAGCUUAAGUGUGGCCUGAAAGCCCCCGGCUCAACCGGGGAAGGUGGCUGCAAACUGGGCUUCUUGAGGGGGAUAGGGGAAAGUGGAAUUCCGGGUGUAGCGGUGAAAUGCGUAGAGAUCCGGAGGAACACCAGUGGCGAAGGCGGGUCUCUGGGCCGAUACUGACGCUGAGGAGCGAAAGCGUGGGGAGCGAACAGG
rnacentral:rRNA from 1 species